AACAAAUCUUUCAAGCUUACCACUGUCUACGGGCCAACUAGAAGCAUUCACAAAGAUGCUUUUUUCCUUGAGCUAUCAUCUCAGAAGCCAUUACCAGGAACAAAGUGGCUGGUUAACGGCGACUUCAACCAAAUAUACCAGACUCGAGAUAAAAACCGCACAAAUGUGAAUCGCAGCCGCCUAGUUAGGUUUCGCAACACCUUAAACUCUUGCGAGCUCAAGGAGAUCCAUCUACAGAAUCGAAGAUUCACAUGGAGCAAUGAAAGAAACAACCCAACGCUAUGUAAACUGGACAACUUUUUUUGCAAUGAGGACUGGGAUAUCGAAUUCGUCAAUCACAUUCUUCAUGCCCUCUCCUCCUCACUUUCAGACCACUGCCCACUUUUACUC
rnacentral:rRNA from 1 species